GUGAAUCAUCGAAUUUUUGAACGCAAAUUGCACUCUUCUCGGAGAGUAUACGUGUUUGAGGGUCAGCCUAUAAAAAUCGACAUCGUUGCUGUUUCGCGGUGGCGUUCGUCGGAAAUUGGGUCAUCUUAAAUCCUUUUGAUUUAUGCGAAUUAAAGUUUUCUUUUGGUUGCAUGAAAGAUUCUAAGAUCUUUUUCUUUACAGGUUUAAGGUAUCGAUUUUUACUAGCAGUGACCUUUAUAUUGGAAUGA
rnacentral:misc_RNA from 1 species